CCUACGGGCGGCUGCAGUGGGGAAUAUUGGACAAUGGGCGAAAGCCUGAUCCAGCCAUGCCGCGUGUGUGAAGAAGGCCUUCGGGUUGUAAAGCACUUUCAGUGGGGAAGAAAGCCUUGGGGCUAAUACCCUCGAGGAAGGACAUCACCCACAGAAGAAGCACCGGCUAACUCCGUGCACAGCAGCCGCGGUAAUACGGAGGGUGCGAGCGUUAAUCGGAAUUACUGGGCGUAAAGCGCGCGUAGGCGGUCUGAUAAGCCGGUUGUGAAAGCCCCGGGCUCAAACUGGGAACGGCAUCCGGAACUGUCAGGCUAGAGUGCAGGAGAGGAAGGUAGAAUUCCCGGUGUAGCGGUGAAAUGCGUAGAGAUCGGGAGGAAUACCAGUGGCGAAGGCGGCCUUCUGGACUGACACUGACGCUGAGGUGCGAAAGCGUGGGUAGCAAACAGGAUUAGAUACCCUAGUAGUC
rnacentral:rRNA from 1 species